UUGAUGAGCACAAGUUAGAUAGUUAGUUUGAUUACAACAUUAGUAGCAUGGUUUUUGUGAUUUUGAAUAUUUGAUUAGGGCUUUUGUUUUGAAGGCACUGGUACAGGUGAAUCUAUGUGACUAGGCAGGUGGAGGGAGGCGUUUAUGGGGUUUUUUAGCAGGGUGACAGGGCAAGAGAGAUGCAGACACCAUUGUCAAUUGUUUGCAACUCAAAGGAAAAUAAACCCCGAAACCAUACCACAAUGAUUAACCACUGAUGGAAUGUAACUGAGGACGUUCAGUCAAGUACUGUUCUUAAGCUCAAUUUGGAGUGACUUUACUUGAGUAUUUAAAGUCCUUCUAGUUUAUACUUCCACUCCAGUGGACAGGAAAGGCAUGUAAAACUGUGACCUAACAAAGUGACUAGUAACUGAAGCUGUUAGACCAAUGUAGUGGAGUAAAAAGUACAACAUUCCAGUAAAGUUACAUAGAAUCGAAAUACACGAGUAAAGAACUGUUGAAGAAAUCAUUCAAGUCCCGUUGAGCAGUUUGCUAUGGUGAUGUGUUUAUUCGAAGAAUACCGGUAAACUGGUGAACCGCGACAGGCACAGAGCAGAUCUGAGCUGGACUCCUCUCCACCUCCCCCCUCGGGGCUGCCUGCCUUCAAGAUCCCUUCUUCUGGGCCCAACAAGCUGUGGAGAGCUGCAAGCUGCCUUCGCAGCAGGCCCAAAGAACCUCUCCUCACUGUAGCGACACAAGGUCCUGCCAGUCUGAGGAUCUGAGGAACACAAAGCAGGUUAGCACUGAGCUGCUAUCCUUGCAAAGGAAAGGAGCGACCAGUUUCUUCCUCUGCCGACUUUCAUCUAACCUUGAACAGCAAGAACAGCGCUGAUCAACAGUGGAACCCCAACCUUCUCCUGCAACCACCAGCAGCUUCUCUUCAAAGACUGCUGAAGUCGUCCCCUCAUCAUGCCAGUCUCCAGGAGAACUGAGGACGAUGCAAAGGCGGCAUUUCAGUCCUGUAAAAGUCCUGAUCCAAAAGACCGCGUGGACUUCUAUGACAGCUGGGUAGACUAUGAAGAGGAUCAACGCCUGAUGAGCUUCAAAGGACCGGACCUGGCAGUAAACUUCCUGUCUGACAACUUCUCUGGGAGUCCCGAGGGUGCUCUGGUUCUGGACGUGGCCUGUGGGUCAGGAUGGGUCACCAAAGUGAUGGUUAAACUGGGCUUCAGGCGCUUUGUUGGAGUGGAUGGCAGUAAGGGAAUGCUACAGCGAGCUGCUGAGACCGGCCUCUAUCAGGACCUCAGACUGGCCUUACUGGGAACCGAACGACUGCCUGCACAGACUGGUGUGUUCGAUGUGGUGAUCAUUGUCGGCGCUCUGGAUGCUGGUUUUGUACCAGUUAGCGUUGUCAGGGAGCUCUGCCACGCCGCCAAACCAGGGGGUCUCAUCUGUAUGGCGAGGGGCGACCACACUCAAACGCCAUCAGAGAGAUACAAGAGGGAGCUGGAGAAAGAGCUGCAGCUGAUGGAGGAGGGGGGACUGUGGAGCCUGGUGGGAAUCAAGCGGACGGAGAGAUACAUGGAAAACCCACAUCUGACUAAUGAGAAAGGAGGGAAGGGCGAGCAGGAGAAGCAAUACAUCAGCGGGACCGUUUACCUGUACAAGAAAUCCAUGAGUCCGUUAAACUGAAGAUUAAUGAUACAGUACAGAGGAGACAGCAACAUGUUUGUUAACCUGACUCUAGUACCGCGGCACCGCCAGGUAUUCUGGGCCUCAUCACCACAGGCCAUGUGAACCCUGCUCUGUAACCACAUCUCCAGGAUCCAAUCAGCCCAUUGAAAACUUUAAAUAACACUGCUUAUAUGGUGUUUAUGUAUGUUUUACUGUGAGCCUUGAAAAUAUAACACUGUGCAGACAUACAUGCAACACCCUGCAUGCAGUGGAAUUCAGUGUUCGAUGUUCAACAAGCCACUCAAACAAGGUUCCCCUGGUGGGAUUAAUACAGUCUUUAUCUGUAGAUGUCAUUAAAUCAUUCAGUCUGCAUCAAGACUUGACGGUAUUAUUUUAGCGCUGGCUUUAACUUUAAUACAGACUGAGUCACUCAAUGCCUCAAACUGUCCAUUACCGAAUACAGACUAUAGGAUCUUUAGGUUUUGUGUAAUUAUCAUUACAUGGAAAAGUAAUUUCAGUGUUUCAUUGGAAGAGAUUUAGUCGUAGUACAAAUAGAGAGCUACAUUCCCACAGAGCCCCGGAGUGGCAGUAACUGACAUGUCACUCAACACAAUGUUGUUCACGUUCUUGAGAUGUGGGCUGCGGAGGGAUGUGGAGGAGACGAGGCUGCUGAUGACUCUGCUGAGUCUGGUAGGAGAGGCAGGGACAGCUCACAUAAUAUAAUUAGCUUGACCUGCACCGAUUAAAUGUAGGUUGGUAAGGAGUGAAAUGUAACAGUGAAAUGUAGCUUUAUUCACUGUGACCAUAAUGCUAACAAGUUCAUUUCAAACACACUACAUUUCACACACUACACCCACCCUUCUUCAAGUAAAGCUGGGUGUAACUGGGUAUCGCCUCUUUUGUUUCUCCCUCCUGUCUUUCUGUUUU